rnacentral:rRNA from 1 species
CGGAGCUGGGCGAGCCUGAUCCAGCCAUGCCGCGUGUGUGAAGAAGGUCUUCGGAUUGUAAAGCACUUUAAGUUGGGAGGAAGGGCAUUAACCUAAUACGUUAGUGCUUUGACGUUACCGACAGAAUAAGCACCGGCUAACUCUGUGCCAGCAGCCGCGGUAAU